rnacentral:tRNA from 1 species
GCCCUCUUCGUCUAGUGGUUAGGACACUAUCUUUUCACGGUGGUUACGCAGGUUCGAAUCCUGUAGAGGGCA